GCCGGGGUGGCGGAAUUGGUAGACGCGCCGGUCUCAAAAACCGGUGAGGGAAACUUCAUGCCGGUUCGAUUCCGGCCCUCGGCA
rnacentral:tRNA from 1 species